rnacentral:rRNA from 1 species
AUUGAACGCUGGCGGCAGGCCUAACACAUGCAAGUCGAGCGGAUGAAGGGAGCUUGCUCCUGGAUUCAGCGGCGGACGGGUGAGUAAUGCCUAGGAAUCUGCCUGGUAGUGGGGGAUAACGUCCGGAAACGGGCGCUAAUACCGCAUACGUCCUGAGGGAGAAAGUGGGGGAUCUUCGGACCUCACGCUAUCAGAUGAGCCUAGGUCGGAUUAGCUAGUUGGUGGGGUAAAGGCCUACCAAGGCGACGAUCCGUAACUGGUCUGAGAGGAUGAUCAGUCACACUGGAACUGAGACACGGUCCAGACUCCUACGGGAGGCAGCAGUGGGGAAUAUUGGACAAUGGGCGAAAGCCUGAUGCAGCCAUGCCGCGUGUGUGAAGAAGGUCUUCGGAUUGUAAAGCACUUUAAGUUGGGAGGAGGGGCAGUAAGUUAAUACCUUGCUGUUUUGACGUUACCAACAGAAUAAGCACCGGCUAACUUCGUG